ACUCACCAGGUCCAGACACAAUAAGGAUUGACAGAUUGAGAGCUCUUUCUUGAUUUUGUGGGUGGUGGUGCAUGGCCGUUCUUAGUUGGUGGAGUGAUUUGUCUGCUUAAUUGCGAUAACGAACGAGACCUUAACCUACUAAAUAGUACUGUUAGCGUUUGCUGAUAUAGUUACUUCUUAGAGGGACUAUCGGUUUCAAGCCGAUGGAAGUUUGAGGCAAUAACAGGUCUGUGAUGCCCUUAGACGUUCUGGGCCGCACGCGCGCUACACUGACGGAGCCAACGAGUAUAUCCUUUGCCGAGAGGUAUGGGUAAUCUUGUGAAACUCCGUCGUGCUGGGGAUAGAGCAUUGCAAUUAUUGCUCUUCAACGAGGAAUUCCUAGUAAGCGUAAGUCAUCAGCUUGCGUUGAUUACGUCCCUGCCCUUUGUACACACCGCCCGUCGCUAGUACCGAUUGAAUGGCUUAGUGAGGCCUCAGGAUUGGUUUAAAGGAGGAGGCAACUCCACCUUGGAACUGAGAAUCUGGU
rnacentral:rRNA from 1 species